AGACAGCGUUCCUGAAUUUACACAAAAAGUCCUCGAUAAAACUAAGGACCCCCCCCCAUACACACACCCCGCAACCAAAGGCACUUUGUUAAGGAUCAAAAAUGAAGGCUCAUAAACUAAUUUUAGAAAAGUUUCACUUUGCUGUAUAGCAGAAACUGGUACAACAUUGUAACACAGCUGUCCUUUAAUAAAAUAAUCUCAAAUUUUUUAGAAAAGUAUCUUUUAGCAUAUAUGAGUUUUACAAAUGAUUGUAGCUAUGAGUCAGUAUAGCCUUAUCCAUAACUUCACUGUGCUAUUGUGUUGUGCUUCUAACCACUUCUGCUUCAACUGGGUCUUGGGGUCCAAUUGAAUAGGAAAAAUAUAAUCUAUCAAAUGCACUGUAAUUAACAGAGGAUUCAGAUAUUUACAGAUCUGAUUCUAAAAUGUUCCAAGGAAGAUUAUUCUAAGUGCUUCCAUGAGAGACUAACCAUUCUCAGUGGUUCUUUGGAUUUCAACCAAGACCCUCAGAUGAGAUAAAUCUAAAAUCACAGCUCUUGACAAGAGUAGCCAAGAAGUGAAUGUUUGAAGGAUGCAAUAUCUAUGACAACCUUGUGCUUGGAAAGAGUUGGGUUUUUUGUUUUUGUUUUUGUUUUAAGAUUACAUCUAUGAUAUAAGUGUCCUUGAUGGGUGAUGUAUUGGAUUUUAAUACUCAUUUUCUAUUUCUUUAUUUUGUGUAGAUGAUGAUGUAAAAAGGUUGAACUGAAAAUAACAACCAGUCUUACACAUGCCAUUCCUCUGCUGCAGUGGUAAAUGACAGCUGUGGUCUCCACGAGGUAAUUAAACAGUGUUUAUGAAUAACCACCAGCAUAUGGAGUUCUCUAAAUGUUCCAUAACACGUGGUCCAAGACUCUUAGAAUCAGAGAGCUAAAAGAGACUUAAAGAAUUUUCUAGUCCCCUCUCUUGACUCCAGUUUACAAAUGAUGAAUCCAAGUUUCAGAAAAGUAUUAUUAUUUGGUUAAGAUGAACUAACUUUGCUUAUGGCAGAACCUAGGUCUUGAGAAAGCCAUUCUUGGGCUUGUACUUGCAAAUAAUAUAUUCCCAUUUUGAUUCAAAUUCCACAGAAAACAUAGUCUGUGAAGAUGUAUUAUUAAACCAAAAUCAGGCAGGACACAGCAGAGUUUCAGAGUCUGACAUCUGAGAUUCGAUGGCUUGGUUUCAAAACUUGAUGCCUUCCUUCAUUAGCAGUGAGAAGAGAUAAGUAACCUUUAUAGCCUAAGUUCCUCAUUUGUAUAAUGGAAAAAAUUAGUAGGGUCUGUCCCAUAAAGCCUUUGGAAGGGUUAAAUGAUUUAAUCCGUAUAUAGAAUUAGAACAGAGGGCUACAUAGUAAGACUCAAUAAUGUUAUCUCUUCAUAUCUGUCUGUCUGUCUGUCUGUCUGUCUGUCUAUCUAGGGCCAUUCAGUCAAGGAGGAGUCACAAAUGACAUGAGCAUAUUGGAAAGUCAAGGGACCAAUAUUUUGUGUUUAUGUUUGUAAUCUGCUUGCCCACAGCUAUCAUAUUAUUGGCAUUGCAUAGGGAUGUGAUAUUGGUCAGAAAGACUAAGUCCUGAGUGAUUCAGCCCUUUGGCUUUGGAUAUCACCUCCUGUUCUCUAGGCUAUUUUUUUCUUCCUUUCCUAUUAUUUCUAAGAUGUGUAGGAAAGUUUUAAAGGAAAAGAGAAAAUUAAAAGCAGCUGAUGGAACUCUUCUGACUGCUUUUACUGGACUCCGAAAAUGUAGAAAGAGUGACCUAAAUUCGAACGCAGAACAUCCUAUGGCUGUCUUGGAAUUCCAGAUGCAAACUCCUUUUCCCUGAUUAGCCUUGUUCCCUUCCCCUGAGUCUCUCAGCUGGGGAAUUCCUAGUUGCAAAUCUCAAUGUGUCUUCAUUUGGAUGAAUCCUGGGAACCCAGACGUAUCACGCAGCAUCUCGGAAACAUGGGAAACCCUUUAGUUUGCCUCCCCAGAGUUAUAUGGGGAUGAGAAACAUCUGUUAUCAUCCUUUCAGUAACAGGGUAUUUGAUGGGUUUAUUUUUCUGCUUUGUUUUGGAUAGUCUCAGCUCAGCAAAAUAUUUUCCAUAAAGAAGUCAUCGAAAAGAAGGUAUGAUAAACUCAUGAACUUGAGGUGUUAUCAAUCCUAAAAUUCCUGUAAACAACCCAGUGAUGAUCAUCUCCCAUUAUUAAAAAAAAUAUAUAGUUAAGAUAUUGAAAAGUUUGUGCUUCUGACCAGUGCCCAGAAAGCAAGCUAUCUGUAUUAGUGGUUUAAACACAACUGGAAGAAAUACAAAAUGCAGUGAAACAGGUGCAAGGGUGUUAGAGCCAUCGAAGCAUGGAUGUAACGGUCUUAAGUCCCAUAAAAGAGUAGCAUUUGGCAGGUCUCUCUAUAAAUGAGGUUAGGUUUGCCAAAAGAGUAAAACAACACUACUGGUAAGUUAAAAAAAUCAUGUCCUAUCAGAAUUUCCCUGCAUUCCACCCAAAACUUCUAUGAAAACUUAAUAAUAGGCUGAUUCAUCACAUAUAAAUUCCAUUCCAAAAAAUAAAAAGGAACUAUAACUUUCCCACUGUUGCUCUAUAGAAAAGCAAAGAGCAAUAUUGAUAAUAUGUUUGCUAAUUUCUUGUUCAUGGAGAAAUGUGUUAUUUUGCUUAGUGGUUGUUUCUCCCUUCACCUUCACUGAUAAUAAAGGGAGUACCUAAAGUGAUAAAAAAAAACUGGAUAUAAAAUAUCCUUUCUUUUAAAUAGUCUUGGUUAUGUUAUAUAGGUGAAUAUAGAUGAGCUUGCUUGAUUGCAAACAGUUAUUCAUUUGAAUUUCAAAUUGAAGUAAUCCACCUCACCCAUUUAAACAGCUAAGUGACUUCCACUAAGUUUAUGACUGCAGAUCAGAUGGAUGGCUUUAAUCAGGGUUUAAAUUACAUGGAAUUCAUAGAUCAUAAGAUCUAGAAUUUUUUUCCUAAUGGGUGUGGGGAGAGAACAGGCUGGGAAACAUGUCUUUGGACGACGUACUGGAAAUAUUUUUUUAACUAUUAAAGAUCUGUUUAUAGUCCACAGUGUCCCUUUAGGGUUGCACAUUAGCUAAGUAAAAUGACAACCGUCCUCUGUUUAUAACUGAAAGAUUCCUGUGGUUGUGGACCUUCAACCCUGGGGACUAAACUUAACUCCCAAAGAUAAUUCCCCUCUCCAAGUCCCCACUGCACUUUUUCUUAACCAUAAGACUUUGGAGUCACUCCACUCCAGUUCAGGAAUGCAUGCUCUAGAAGUAUGGCUAUAGGGGUGUGAACUGGUAUGUGUGAAAAUUAGAACGGAAGAAGUUAUUUGCUUAGCUGGGGACUUUAAAUAAAAGUGCAUUAGCUAAACUUGUGAAGCAUAGGUUGGACUGAGCUGGUGCCCAGAGAAAAACAAGCUAUAAUAAUAUGUGUUAUCUCACUUUCAAGGUAAGGAGUCCAUAAUUAAGGGAGAGGGUCUACCCAGGAUGACCAAUAAGCUUCUGACUAUUGAUUCCUAUAAAACUACCUUCAAUUGGAUGGAUAAAACUUCAGUAAGCCAUCCUCAGGAAGGAGCUUCAAAGGCCAUUUCCGUGGCAACAUUGGCAUCCUCCUGACAUCUACUUAUCCGCCUUAGGAACUGAUUGGAAACUUGAUUAAAUAUAACGAGUCCCUCAAGAGGACCAGUGAUGGGGGAGGUGAGAUCGAAGGAAGGCAGUGGCUUCAUUUUGUUGCAUAAGAGGGCAAGGAAUCUAGGAGAGGUUUUGGUCCUGCCUCUGACCUCUUCAUUUCUCCACUAUUGUUCUCCAGAUAAGUAGAGUUGGGAAGAAGAAUGAAAAUAAACACCUUAUAAGUCCUGCAUAUCUACCUUUGCUCUCUGCUGGCCAGGGUCAAAAUUGCAUGCUGUGAGCAAAGGUGUUUUAUAUGCAAUGCUGUGUGAAAACAAUUCGGGUUUUGAUGUUCAAGCCAAAGAGACAAUUCUGUUGUCAUUAAUAAAGCAUUGUGUUGAUAGAUGUCUUUUAAAAAUUUCUAGGAGGAACUGGUGUCUUCAGAAAUGUUAGUAAAUUCUUCAUUAAAAAAUAUUCUGUGGUCUAAUCAGUUUAGAAAUCACAGGUUAAACUAAGUUAAGUCGAUUUAUUUUCUGGAGGAAUUCUCACAGCCUUUAAUGUAUUAUUAAUUAGCCAUUCUAGCUCUAAAUAGUAUUAUCAGACAGAGAAAGGGAUAGGAGAGAGAAAAGUGUAAAUUACUUUACAGAGGAAAUCAACCUUAUCUGCCACAAUAUAAUCACAUGCGUUAGGACGGCACCACCUACAGCCAGAGAAAAGGGGUAAAUGAUACUGUAUCUAAGUAUCAUUUAUCUUUUCAACAGUGUCCACUAGCAUCUCACAAUCACAUAGUUUGGGAAAUGGGGGUAUAGAGCACAACCCUUUUGUCAUAUCUUGUGGAUCAUAGUUGUAUGAGUUUGUGCAAAUUAUUUGAACUUCUCGGAGCCUGGAUUUUCUCAUGCAUAAAAGUGAGCUAAUACCUAGCUCUCGGGUUAUCGUAAAGAUUGCACAUAAUUAUGAAUGCAGUGCUUGGCCCAGAAAUGAUGGAUUGCUUCCUUCUUGGUCUCCUGAACCUUCACCCUUUCCCCAGCCCCAGUCAGCCAUUUAAACCUAAAGUGACUCGGACAGGAAUGAGGGGCACUGUCCUGCCAAAAAUAGAUGGUUUCCCCAGAGAACAGUGUCCAAAGGGAUUCUCCUUAAGGUAUCUUCUGUCAUUCAUUCCAUUUAUCCAUUCAACUAGGAAGCCAACACAUUUUUUUGUGGUGUCUGCUAUGGAUCAGGGACCAGGAUAAAGAUAGACCUGAUUUCAUUCCCUGACUGAACUUACUGUCCAGCAGUGAAAAUAACCAUUUAAUUUAAGUGACAGUGGUCACAGAUGCCAACAGAUCUGAUGGAGAAUGUUCAGGGUUCUAAUCAUGAGUCUAGGAGUCUAAGGCAGGCAGUGGAAACCUAGUACAGUUACCCUCCCUCUGAUACACAGUGAAGGAGCCAGCAUAAAAAUCAUACCCACAGUGAAAUAAGAAGUGGGAGGCUGCAGUGAAGAGACAAUGAAAAGGAGCUAUGCCUUCAAACUGGGGUUUCUCACUUGGCCUCCCAAAGUUGGUAAAGCGGUGUUCACAUUUUUUCUCAAGGAGGAAGAGCCAGUGGAGCCAAGGCUGUUGUCCAGGGUUUCUGAAUUCUAGCUGAGACUCUUCACCCACCAUUGUAAUGGUGUUAAGUGGCCACAGUGGGGAGAAACAGAGGAAUUUCCUUAAAAUCUCCCACUAAGGAUGACCUCAUCAUUAGUUUCUUCAUAAGUAAUGCUUCCUUAGAAUUCUUUCCUUUACUUUCUCAUCUCUCAUCCUACUCCACAAUUUCAUGUUCUUUUUAUCAUAUGCCAUAACGUAUCUGAUAAUUCUACAAGGCCAGGGGCUAUGUUAUUUUCCUCUAGAUACUUUCAGUACCUGGCUUGUGUUGACUGAUAGAAUUAAUUGAUUGACAUAUUAGCUGAGAUUCACUUGUGCUAAUUUUUGUCAACAAUUAAGAAAACCCAAGCAUUGAAUUGGAUAUUCUUUUUUCAAUGUGAGACGUCCUCAUUAAAUUUGUUCUGACCUUCAUUUUGCUGUCACUGUGUCUGUUCAUAUAAAUGACUAGCACAGAGCAAUUACAGUCGUGAGGGGAAAGGCCCCCUCUGUAAUUGAUAUAUGGAGUCUAGAGAAUUUAUAUUCUUCUUCUCACAAUGCCUUCUGACAAAAACUAUAUGAAGGGCCAGCGGAAAUUAUUCUUGAUCCCCCAUUUCUGCUUAAUUGGUGGUUAUCUUUCAGUGUAAUAAACAUAAUCAAGCAAAAACGUUCUACAAAAAUUAUCAAGACAGGUCAAAGAGAAUUCAGCUCAAAUCAUUGCUUUCAAAUAUUAAGGUCAUCGAUUUCAAAUAUCUUUUUGGAAAUAACUUAUACUUAAAAAAAAGGAGAAGGAAUGUAUUUAUUUUAAUGCUUUGUUGGCCUUGGCCUUGAUGGUUAGGUUAACUGCAGAUUUAGAAAUCUACAGGAAGAACUCUCUAUUAAUGGUGGAUGAAGAGUGGGGGCUGGGAGACUUCAACAGGCUUUAUCAUCCUGUUGUUGUGUCUCAGUUUUGAGGACUUGAGGUUCACCUUAGUUAGAGUCUGGUGAUUCUAUUCAUGGAAGCUGUGUGGUCUCUUAGCAGAGAAUGAACAAGCUAAUUUUAUCAUUUAGAAUUGCUGUAGCACUGCCCUAAAUGAUAAACAUCAAUCCUCUUAAGCUGAAAUCAGAAAAUGAAUACCUUGCUUAUUAUUAAAAGCAUCCACUAUGAAUUCAUUGACAUCCUCCUUCAUUUGGCUUGAUAGUCAAAAUUUGGUUAAAUAAGUGUUCUCACUAGAGGGAUAGCGUACUUAAUACAAAUUGGGAGGGGAAAAAAAGGGGGGGCCUUGAAAUAUUUGUUCCUAGCUUUUCCGGAAUAUCUUGACACAACUUCAGUCUAAGUUGGGCAUUGUCACCAAGGGUGGGAAUGGAAAUAUCUCCUUUACUCAUCUUCUGUGGAUGUUUAUAUGAUUCCAUUUGUCUGCCUCUAAUUCCUUAGAGAUAGAAUUAUAUUACUGGGUUUCCUGAAGGGUGUUCCACAUAUUUACAUGGUUUGUUUAAUUUCACAUUGCCCUUUGUGGAUAGGACUAUUUGUCUUGCCAAAUGGAGAGCCCACACAAAAGUCACACACGCAAGCUUAAGGAAAGAACUUUUAGAUCAUUUGCUUAAGAGACAACACUUCUUAUUCUAAAAAAAAUAUGGAAGUCAAUUUUUUUGGCUAUAACUGAUUAUUGAGAAGUCCUAUUUGAAUUAUCUUAGUACAAAUGAAAAACAUGUACAUGAGCCAAGUACCCUUCAAAUGCAAGGCUUUAUUUAUUGAUUUGCUUUUUAAAUCAAGGGUGGAACAUUAAGCCAAAUGCACCAUGGAGCUAGUAAAAACAAAAUAUUUGAUAAUUUGAAAU
rnacentral:lncRNA from 1 species